GCUAGGACGGGCUGGGAGGGCGGCGCGGCGCCCGGGGCGCCGCGCGGCGGGCGUUAGUCGCCCAGCGUUUCGAUGACGUGGUUCUGGUU
rnacentral:tRNA from 1 species